GGAGUUGAUUGGACCUCUCUCUCUCUGUACUUGAAAUGCCAGGGCCUAUUUUGACUCCCAGUCUAGACCUGCUCCCCAAUACACUAAAUCGCUGUCGCUUUUUGUUAUGCUUUCAUAAACAACUUCUUUUGCUUUUGUCUAGUAUUUCGCAACCAAGUGGCGAGAAAGCUGCUGGGAAAACAUUCUCCGGAGCUCAAAACAGAUACAAAUGGUGCCCCCAAGUGGACACGACUGGGAAAGCAUAAUGGAAAAAUGAAUAGGCAAGAAUUUUUUUUAAUGCUUCCCCCCCCCCCAGAACCGAAAAAAAAAAAAAAUUCCAAUAGUGACGGAAACUGAGUGACAGAGACGGAACCUUAAGGGACUUCCAUGAAUACUUUUAAUUUAAGGAGACUUCAGUGCAAACCUGUCCGAGUCCCAUCAGAUCUGCUCUGCACAGAGGUUCAGCCGAAACCCCCCCCAUUCACAUAAAUGAAUAAUUUCAUAAUAAUAAUGAAAGAAGAUCCGUAAUCUGGCAUCAGGACUGUCUGUUAAAUUAAAAGGCAGCAGAAUGCAGGCUCAGUGAUGGAUGAAGCCCACGUAGAGGAGGAAAAGAAAUGGAGUCACAG